GCCAUCCCAGCUCCCAAAGGUCUGAUUACUGACUGGCUCAUCCACUGUCCCCAUUUUGAGGUCCCUGCUGGAACUGGCCCUAGGGAGAGAGGCACGAGCAAACACAUCACUCAGUCCCCUCCUUCACUUAGUGACAGAGCAAGUUCUGGAUUUUUCACAACAGUCCUUUUUUCAGGAAUGUUUGAUGUCGGGGAGACUGCGCCUUUAAAAUCCUCUGAGGAAAGAAGAUUUCUAUAAAAGUUUUCUCCCAUAAAUAUUUUAUGUUUCACUGAAUUACUAUGAACAGAAAUUCCGUGAUGGAAGAGAAGUGCCUUCUCUGCCCCCACACCAACCAAAGGCCCAUUUCCAAACUCAUGGCCAUGCUCUGCCACCUGGGAAACUGGCCACCGAAGCCCCUCUUCAGGAUUUAGUUGCCUUCAAACCCUUCUAUCACAUUUUAGAAUUACUCUUCCGAUUGAUUUGUGCUAUCUGGCUGCUGUAAUUUUGAAUAAACAAGCCCGAAUAUUUGGUUAAAAUGCCUAAGUCACCUGAGUUGCAAAAAAUACAGCCAGACUGAUUUCAUGACUUGUGCAUAAGACACCCAAUAUAUAUUCAUUAGGUAUAUAUUCUAUCAAUAUUAAAUAUGUAUUAAUUUUAAUAUACUAA
rnacentral:lncRNA from 1 species